AUCUGCCCUCUGCCAAGGUUCUCGAGGUCUCCUUCCAGCCCCGGUGGUAAUCUCGCUCAGCGCCGCGUCCUCCC